rnacentral:rRNA from 1 species
CGAAAGCCUGACGGAGCAAGACCGCGUGAGGGAGGAAGGCUCUUGGGUUGUAAACCUCUUUUCUCAGGGAAGAAGCUCUGACGGUACCUGAGGAAUCAGCCUCGGCUAACUCCGUGCCAGCAGCCGCGGUAAUACGGAGGAGGCAAGCGUUAUCCGGAAUUAUUGGGCGUAAAGAGUCCGUAGGUGGUUCAUCAAGUCUGCUGUUAAAGCGUGCAGCUCAACUGCAUAUAGGCAGUGGAAACUGUUGAACUAGAGUAUGGUAGGGGUAGAGGGAAUUCCCAGUGUAGCGGUGAAAUGCGUAGAGAUCGGGAAGAACAUCGGUGGCGAAAGCGCUCUACUGGACGGCAACUGACGCUCAGGGACGAAAGCUAGGGGAGCG